rnacentral:rRNA from 1 species
GACGAACGCUGGCGGCGUGCUUAACACAUGCAAGUCGAACGAUGAACCGGUUUCGGCCGGGGACUAGUGGCGAACGGGUGAGUAACACGUGGGCAAUCUGCCCUGCACUCUGGGAUAAGCCCGGGAAACUGGGUCUAAUACCGGAUACGACACUCCGAGGCAUCUUGGGGUGUGGAAAGUUCCGGCGGUGCAGGAUGAGCCCGCGGCCUAUCAGCUUGUUGGUGGGGUAAUGGCCUACCAAGGCGACGACGGGUAGCCGGCCUGAGAGGGUGACCGGCCACACUGGGACUGAGACACGGCCCAGACUCCUACGGGAGGCAGAAGUGGGGAAUAUUGCACAAUGGGCGAAAGCCUGAUGCAGCGACGCCGCGUGAGGGAUGACGGCCUUCGGGUUGUAAACCUCUUUCAGCAGGGAAGAAGCGAAAGUGACGGUACCUGCAGAAGAAGCACCGGCUAACUACGUG